rnacentral:rRNA from 1 species
UACGGAGGGUGCAAGCGUUAUCCGGAUUCACUGGGUUUAAAGGGUGCGUAGGUGGGCAGGUAAGUCAGUGGUGAAAUCUCCGAGCUUAACUCGGAAACUGCCGUUGAUACUAUUUGUCUUGAAUAUUUGUGGAGGUAAGCGGAAUAUGUCAUGUAGCGGUGAAAUGCUUAGAUAUGACAUAGAACACCAAUUGCGAAGGCAGCUUACUACACAACGAUUGACGCUGAGGCACGAAAGCGUGGGGAUCAAACAGG